rnacentral:rRNA from 1 species
GAAUUUUGCGCAAUGGGCGAAAGCCUGACGCAGCAACGCCGCGUGGGGGAUGAAGGCCUUCGGGUUGUAAACCCCUUUUAGGCGGGACGGAAUUGACGGUACCUCCAGAAAAAGCCCCGGCCAACUACGUGCCAGCAGCCGCGGUAAUACGUAGGGGGCGAGCGUUGUCCGGAAUUAUUGGGCGUAAAGAGCUCGUAGGCGGCUUAGUAAGUCGGCGGUGAAAUACCGAGGCUCAACCUCGGCACUGCCGUCGAUACUGCUAUGGCUAGAGUUUGGUAGAGGAGAACGGAAUUCCCGGUGUAGCGGUGGAAUGCGCAGAUAUCGGGAGGAACACCCGUAGCGAAGGCGGUUCUCUGGGCCAAUACUGACGCUGAGGAGCGAAAGCGUGGGGAGCAAACAGG